rnacentral:tRNA from 1 species
AAGGCGGUAGUAUAAUAAGUAUACAUGGUUUCGGCCCAUACGGUGAGUUGUUUCUCCUGCCUUU